rnacentral:lncRNA from 1 species
UCCCAACAGAGUUUUCAUUGAUACUUGAUAAAAUACAAGGGUAGAAUACUUAUGCCGGCGGAAAACAUGACCUUCCCCGGAAACUAAACCCAUAAGAAGGGAACGACAGUCUAAGAAACAGACCACUAAAAUCCAACGGAAACAUUAAGCUACAAACUGGAAUCCUUCGACUAAACCAUGACCUAACAAGACAUAAAAGUAUCAGACUUAGUUAUCUUAUGAUCAGCCGGUAGACUUACCAAACUCAAGGCAAGAGAGCAGAAACUAUAGAAAUACUUCAUGAAGAGCAGGAACCAUCAUCUGAACCUUACCGUUCACGAUGACCACAAACCACCUCUAAGACGAAACCAAGACGAAAACCAAGAAGAACCAACACCCGGGAGAACUCACAACUCAACCACACCUUCAUCUGGACGCCUUAAAAACUCAACCUCAUUCUAAAGCUUCACCACAAGAAGCCACCGAGGAAAACCAGAGACCAAAGACAACCAGGAGACACACUUAUUCAAAGGGCAGGAGGAGGACUCUUCUGCUACUGGGGAAUGGAAUGGUUAACCUGAGACCACACUUUUACUCAACAACCCUUCAGCUGCUCUUCAUAGGCCAAUACCGUUCUGCUACACCGUUGCUAGAACAAAAACAAACUAAGCCAAUCUCUGAACUCUAUGACAGAUUAGUCGAUAUCAAACGCAGAAGACUAGCUAAGAACCCGCAAACAAAACGAAACUUUAACAACGAGCAACUACAAUGGAGGAAGAGAAUCUGAAACCCAUUAAAGGAUAGAAACCACAGACCAGAAGAAGCAGAGGCUACAAACUCUUAAAGCACACCAUCCGGCAGCAAGACGAGUAGAUCUAGGAAUCAAAGGAAAAGCAAACUCUGAUGCCGGCUAGAAACGACCAGCACACAUCUUCAUCAUCUAGAAAAGAACCGCCUUUAGCCAUUAGACUCUGAAGCCGAACUUCACGCGCCACCACGCACCUCCAGUCUGAUACCUUCACUCCCAUCAACCAGCUCAGAUCCUUACCACACCUUUAGAGAACAACAAGAGUACAUCACAAUAGAACAGAGAAAUUCGACUCCGGUGCUGUGAGAGCCACCGGAGUCGACCACCACAAAACCUAGAUCUACUUUUUUUCAGAGAGAAUACGGGAGUCCCUUUUCUCUUCCUUUACUCAAAUUAGAACUUGA